CCCUCUCCUCGUUCUGCUGGGGAGUUGCAUAGGGGCAGACCGGGAUGACCCCCACCGGUCCAUAGGGGGGGGAACGGGUGUUUUGAGUCACGUUUCUUGGUGUUACUGGUGGCGAGAGGGCGGCCGUCCGUCCCGCACCCACCAUGCGGGUAGGCCUCAUCUGUAGGACCAGCGUGUACCGGGGCGGUUGUCGCUUGUUUGGUAUCAUCGUGUGUGUCCCGGUGCCUUCAGUCUCUUGAUGGCCCUUGUGCAGCAUAGUGGUGCCGUUUUUUGUGGCUUUUUCC